UACGUAGGGGGCAAGCGUUGUCCGGAUUUAUUGGGCGUAAAGAGCGUGUAGGCGGCCAGAUAGGUCCGUUGUGAAAACUCGAGGCUCAACCUCGAGACGCCGAUGGAAACCAUUUGGCUAGAGUCCGGAAGAGGAGAGUGGAAUUCCUGGUGUAGCGGUGGAAUGCGCAGAUAUCAGGAGGAACACCAAUAGCGAAGGCAGCUCGCUGGGACGGUACUGACACUAAGGCGCGAAAGCGUGGGGAGCGAACAGG
rnacentral:rRNA from 1 species